UUAGUCACUGUUGCGCACCCGGCUCCUUUGCCUUGGAGAUCGAUCCGCAACUGCACCCCAGAGCGUCCUCAUUGUUCGGAGCGAGCGCGUAUUCGUUUACUUUGUGACUGUGUCCGAAUCUCUGUCCUGCCUCCCAACAACACUGGACUUUUAGGUAGUUUCCAAUCUUCUCUUUUCACCAACUCGGUGGCGGUGAAUAAUCUCACAGAAGCGUUAUUGAGAUUUGUGCAAAGGCGGCACCUCCAGGAAGCAGGUCUCGAAGUGGGAUGGAUGGGACAAAGAGCUUGGGAUUUUCUAACUGACUGACAAUAGUUUGACACACUGGGAGGUUUCAACCUGGAGACCAGCCAGCUGACUUAACCCACAGGAUGACACGGACAGGUAACUUUGCAAAUCCCACUUCUUCUCUGACAGGAGUUUAGUUUGGCUCAGGUGAUGCCCACAGUCUGUCCUCUCUGAACGUUCCAAGGAUCUUAUGGCAAUUGCAGAGACUUCAGAUGGUGACGGGAAUUUCAACAGAAGCGAAUUCACAAAGCAGCGUGUGGCCCACUCUGACCUUGUGCCCAAUUCUGAAUUUGAGUGUGGACUCACCUCACUCACAGAUGUUACCUUUAGCUUGUGUGCGAAUCCUUUAAAAUUUGACGUAUUUA